GGUAGACGGAAAUUCAAGUGUAGAGGUGAAAUUGGUAGAUAUUUGUAGGAAACCCGAGUAGGUAGGCAAGUAUAAAAAUAAAAGGAAUAGACGAGGGACCCGCACCAGCGGUAGAGCAUGUGGUUUAUUUAUACGCAACAAGAGGAACAUCAUCACCGUUUGACAUCCCAAUAAGUUAACAUAGAUGUUUUCAUGCUUCUUUUGAGGAACUUGGUGACAGGUGGUGCAUGGGUGUUGUUAGCUUGUGUUGUGAGAUGUUGGGUUAAGUUCCGCAACGAGCGCAACCCCUUUCGUAUGUUACCAUCAUUAAAUUGGGGCAUUAUAGGAGAAUGCCUGGGAUUAACAGGAAGAAAGGUGGGAAGAAGUUAAGUUAUUCUUCCCCCUUUUGUUUAGGGUUACACACGUGCUACAAUGGUAGGUACAGAGAGCUGCACACCUCGCGAGGGUAAGCUAAUCUCAUAAAACCAUUCUUCAUUUCGGAUUGUAGUGCUGUAAACUCGACGUACCAUGAAAGUAGAGAUCUGCUAGUAAUCGCCAAUCAGCAU
rnacentral:rRNA from 1 species